rnacentral:lncRNA from 1 species
CCGGUACAGAGUCAAUGUGGAGGCUAUAUACAGGGGGUACCAGUACAGAGUCAAUGUGGAGGCUAUAUACAGGGGGUACCGGUACAGAGUCAAUGUGGAGGCUAUAUACAGGGGGGUACCGGUACAGAGUCAAUGUGGAGGCUAUAUACAGGGGGUACCGGUACAGAGUCAAUGUGGAGGCUAUAUACAGGGGGGUACCGGUACAGAGUCAAUGUGGAGGCUAUAUACAGGGGGUACUGGUACAGAGUCAAUGUGGAGGCUAUAUACAGGGGGUACCGGUACAGAGUCAAUGUGGAGGCUAUAUACAGGGGGUACCAGUACAGAGUCAAUAUGGAGGCUAUAUACAGGGGGUACCGGUACAGAGUCAAUGUGGAGGCUAUAUACAGGGGGUACCGGUACAGAGUCAAUGUGGAGGCUAUAUAC